rnacentral:tRNA from 2 species
GCGCGCGUAGCUCAGUGGUAGAGCAUCCCUCUGAUAAGGGGAAGGCCGAAGGUUCGAUCCCUUCCGCGCGCACAA